GACGAACGCUGGCGGCGUGCUUAACACAUGCAAGUCGAACGCUGAAGCCUGGCUUUUGUUGGGUGGAUGAGUGGCGAACGGGUGAGUAACACGUGAGUAACCUGCCCCCUUCUUUGGGAUAACGCCCGGAAACGGGUGCUAAUACUGGAUAUUCACUGGUCUUCGCAUGGGGGGUUGGUGGAAAGGGUUUUCUGGUGGAGGAUGGGCUCGCGGCCUAUCAGCUUGUUGGUGGGGUGAUGGCCUACCAAGGCUUUGACGGGUAGCCGGCCUGAGAGGGUGACCGGUCACAUUGGGACUGAGAUACGGCCCAGACUCCUACGGGAGGCAGCAGUUGGG
rnacentral:rRNA from 1 species